rnacentral:lncRNA from 10 species
UUCUUUCUUUGUCAACCUCAAGGGCAAGUUAGUUUAUGGCCAAGAAUAUACACGGUGCUUCAAAUGCAAAGGAAGACACUCUCUCUUCAAAUGGUUUACGGCUUAGAUGGGGAAGAAAUGUCUACACUCUAGAAAUGAAAUGAUGAAAGGACCUUACAGAGCAGGGGUACUCCUGAGCGAGCCAGGGGAUUCACAGCUCCACAAAGGCAGGACUGUGUCCUGCUGACAGCCCAUGUGAACCUUGUCACCAUGGUUCAUGUGCAUGGAAGGUGCUAGAAAAUAGCCAUCAAAUGAAGGACAAGGAGAAUGGCUGGGGACAGCUCUGCCAACAUCUUCUUGCUUUGGUGAUGACAGAACUAAAAAAUGGUAAAGGAACCCAAAUAUUUCCCAUAAUACUGUGAUUCUGGGACUGAAAACUUGUUUUGUAACGUACAGUUGAAUUAGGGGCAUUAGUGUCCUCAUUCUAGCCAAGUGGGAGGACAAAGUAGUGGUUGACAGAACUGGCCUCUGAGUCAGAAAGACCUGGAUUAGGGUUUCAGUUUCAUCACCAACUUCUCUGCGCCUGCAUUUGCUCAUCUGCAGAAUAGGGAUGAGAUGCUUUGUUUGCAGAGUCCUGAGGACUAAACAAGGCAACCUACUUAACACCCUUAGCACAAACUCAACUCCUGUUUUUAGGUGGUAUUGAUUAUUGACUUUAUGGAUGAAAAAUGUCUUUCAGAUUCUGGUUCGCUGUUCUGUAGCACGGGAAAGACAAAUAGUGGUUUCCAUGUUUAUUCUCUGCAGUAAAGAAAAAUUAUCCUGUAUUCAGUUUUAAAGGUUUAAAAAUCUCAAAAACAACAACUUCUCUGCAUCUCUAAAUUCACAUCAAAAUUUUUCAGUGUAUUGACAGAAAUUGUAUAUAGCUGUAAUUA